AAACGAGGACGACCUCGCCCGUUGCGGGAUAAAAUCGUUCGGGACGACCCGG
rnacentral:ncRNA from 1 species